CUUCACAAACGAAGGUAACAACUUCUUUUAUAAACAACAAUUUUAUAAUUACUGAGCUUUUUUUCUUUUUCGUUUCUUUUCUUUUGUUGUAAAAAGGCACAGACGAAUUGCAGCAUUUAAAACAUGGACAACAGAAUACUGAAGCUACAGCAGCUGUUCUACAAAAAACAAAUCAGCUGAAACGUCACUGUCUUUCAGUGACAAACCUGUAUAAUGCAUCUGCAAAUACUAAAUGAUUUGCAUACUGUGAACUGAGACAGACACACAGUAGCCACAAAAGUGCUAUUUUUGAUUUAGGUUAACACUUGCAUGCUGCAGAUGCAAAUGUUUACCUUCUAACAGAGACUGAGCUCUCAAAACUGUGAUAUUAUUUUUUUUAUUUUCUUGACUUUAAUUUUUUUUUCUUUUUUGCAGGUGUGGAAACUCCCUGUUAUGGCAGACAGGAUAGAGCUCAGUGUUUUGGAGUUUUGGGAGGAAGUAUAGACAUACAGCUGAUGAACGGCACCUCAGAAAUACAUAAAUACAAAUAUUUAAAGAAUUCAUUAGUACUACUAUAUGUGUCAGACAAACAAGUUCAGGCUAAUACCAUAGGACACAGAUCUCUCAUUUUCCACGUUAAUGGAACAUUUAGGAUCAACAACUUGAGCAGCAAUGACAGUGGUAUUUAUACCCUUCAAACCUUUGAUGCAGCUGCAAGAUCAACAGGCGAGUGGACUUUACAGUUGUUUAUUCAAGCUCCUGUGUCCUCUGUCCUGCUGGUCUCUGAGUGUCUGUCCCAGGGAGAGAGGAGGGUGUCCUGCUCCUCUGAGGGAGGGGACAGUCCUCAGUACAGCUGGACUCUGGAUGGACGCACACUGACAGAUGCUGAGCUCCUUUCUGUAAAUAAUGAGACUAACAUCAUCACUCUGAAACAGCACGUCUCAGGACGUCUGGUCUGCUCAGUCAGGAAUUACAUCAGUAAUGUCUCCAAAGAGGAGAGAAUAUCUAUCUGUGGCUUCAUUUUCAUUAACUGCACCUUAGUCAAUGGGACACAGAUAUCAGGGUGGGUGCAUGAAGCCAAUAAAAUCCUGUGUAUUAAACCAACAACACAACUAACACGAGACCCUAAAAUGAUCACGCAAACUGCUGUGACUGAAGGGACUGACAGAGUGCCAAUUGAAAACCCGAAUGAUAUCCUCAGUCCAGCUUUCAGCAGUGCUCAGCUGUGGUACAUUACGUUCCUAAUUUUAUUAGUUGUGGGUGUAGCAGUCAUCUGGGCUCAGAGAAAAAAGCAAAACAACAAACCUACAAAACAAAAAGAUGAAGAAGAUGAUGAGGAAGUAACCUACGCUGAUGUCAGGGUGAUGAAACACCGGGAGAAGGAAAUGGAGCAAAAAUCGGAGGUGGAGGUGGAGUAUGGCCAAGUCAAGUUUUCAAAGCGACCUCUGUACACUGAACCUACAGAAGAUGACUGUUUGUAUGCCAAUGUUCAAAAAUCAGAUGAUUUGAGUGAUCAUUGCUUUUAUACAUACUGCACAACAGAGUGAGACGGUGAUGUCAAGAUGCUUCAGGUGAUUCAGAAAAAUACAAACCAUCAAAGCUCAUAUUGAUUUAUGGAUCUUCUUUACUUUCACUGCACUUCUCUAUCACAACAGAACAUCAGUACAUCUAUUGGAGCUUAUAUUUGUUUUGGUAAAUGGACUGGUUCUUAUAUAGCGCUUUUCUACUCAUCUGAGCACUCAAAGCGCUUUACACAACUUGUGCAUUCACCCAUUCACACAAAGUGCUUCAUAGCUAACAUUCACAUACUUCGAUGGAUGCAUCUGAGAGCAAUUUGGGGUUAGUAUCUUGCCCAAGGAUAUUUGGCAUGUAGAUAGGGGAAGCCAGGAAUCGAACCACCAACCUUCCGAUCAGUGGAUGACCUGCUCUACCACCUCUGCUACAGCCACCUCGUUUAUUUUAUCACCAAAAUAUUUGUGUCCCACUUGUGAAUGACUAUUCUGCCGCUUGGUGUUCCCACAGUACAAUCAUCCUGUACCCUGUGCUGAGAGAAACACACCCAGAUGUCUUUUGAUCUGAUUUCUUUGUAGUCGUUAAUGAAAAAGUGCAAAAUACACAU
ensembl:lncRNA